AGUGAGCGCUGGCGGUAGGCCUAACACAUGCAAGUCGAACGGCAGCACAGUAAGAGCUUGCUCUUACGGGUGGCGAGUGGCGGACGGGUGAGGAAUACAUCGGAAUCUACUUUUUCGUGGGGGAUAACGUAGGGAAACUUACGCUAAUACCGCAUACGACCUACGGGUGAAAGCAGGGGAUCUUCGGACCUUGCGCGAUUGAAUGAGCCGAUGUCGGAUUAGCUAGUUGGCGGGGUAAAGGCCCACCAAGGCGACGAUCCGUAGCUGGUCUGAGAGGAUGAUCAGCCAGAGUGGAACUCAGAAACGGACCAGAGGCCGACGGGAGGCAGCAGUGGGGAAUAGUGGACAAUGGGCUCAAGUCUGAUCCAGCCAUACCGCGUGGGUGAAGAAGGCCUUCUGGUUGUAAAGCCCUUUUGUGGGGAAAGAAAAGCAGCAGGGGAAUACCCCGCUGGGCUGACGGUGCCCAAAGAAUGAGCACCGGCUAACUUCGUG
rnacentral:rRNA from 1 species